AAUUCAUCUUUCCACGCUAUAUGCGUGUAAUAAAGGAUUGGGGCUGUGAGCAGUUUGAUGCGUUACCAUUAGGUACCUUGUGCGCAUAUUUUGCCUCCUGGCCGCGUCAAAUUGCAGCCGGCAUGUGGAAUGGGCCGUGGCAUAUUAUAUGGAGCUGCUCAUGUGAGUGGUAUUGCCUCCGUCAGGAUCGUCAGUGCGUGCACAGAACCAUUCAGUAGUCUGGUUCAGGGAGGAUGCGCGAAAGAACGAGGACGUAAGAAAACACUGGCAUGACGAGCUGUUCCGUCAGAUCGCGUUACAUCGCGCUUUUUUUCUAAGACCAUCUCGCUCGAGCGAGAGGAUCUUAGAACAGCAUUACUACUGCUUUUUUACAGCUUUGCUGCUGCUCAUUUAAUCGUCACCUGCAUUCUUUUAAUAAUACAAAUGACAUCGCUGCGCGGAAGAGCGUCUCUUGAAGUUUCCAAACAAUAGCCAAUGCCGCCGUGCCUGCUGCAUACACGCUUGCUUUUCCUAACGCAGUUAAGACGCUGCACUAGCUCUGCUACUGCGUGAUACAGGGUCACUGUGAUAAGAAAAUUAAAAAGAACAAACGAAAUUAAGGCAGAAAAUGUCAAACGUCGCCAAGCGUGAUAGACGGACCUGCCUCGCUAGAUGAGUUGAAGAAAUCGGGGUCCUGAAGUCAGCUUCGCCGCAGUAGACUAGUGUUACGCACUGAAGCAUGUCAGAACUGAAGAGUGACCGCUUUCACCGACAUAAAUAAUAUGUGUUCCGUAAUGAUGUACGCGUGCACCUGCCGUCUCCUGUUACAUUACGCGCGCCGAGGCGCCUAAGUGUACUGGCCAGCCUUCAGCGCUAUUUCGGACGUGGCUGUGAUGCUUUGAACCGUUGGUUUGUCGACCUCGUAAGCCAGUUAAUGUUUACACGGCCAUUUUUUUUCUGAGCUGUUGAUUUCUUCCAUAACAGCUACGUAAUUUCGUAGUUUCCUGUUCAACUGCUUUGGUCAUAUGCGAGUCAAGGUUGUUCUCUUUAGCCGAGCGCAGUUUUCGAAAGCGAAACGACGCUUUUGCAUCAGCAUAUAGUGCCGUCGCCCAUUUACAACACAGUCAAUCAAUGUAAUUUUGUAUGUCACUGGGAAACCGCCGAACGCAGGGAACUCACUCGCAUGCGGGGAACUGCAUAACUAGCCACGGGAUUACCGUGCCUCUUGGGAAGCUGCUUUGCAUCAAAGGCCAGACUCCUGCAUCUCUACCAGCCACUACCAAACGCUUGUCGGUACGUCUCUUGGCAAAGGUCCAGGUAAAUCUCGCCCUGUUUGGAGUUGGGGGGACUCACGUAUAUGAAAACUGCCAAGGAAAGCAGUUGCCCUGAUGAAUUCACGCUCCCCUGUCGAAACAUUUGCACCAGCCUGUUCGACCACCGUUAUCACCGCAACAUAUUUGUGUGUUGCGGUGAAGCAUGCCGAUAUUGGGAAAGAGUUACGUGAAUCUGGAAUGUAUGGUUUCUGUCAGCGACGAACCUAAUGUUCUACUGUCAUCCCUAAUGUUCUACUCUCAUCAAAGCAGAUUUUCGUGGCAGGAUGCAUGAUGUCUUGAGAACUUUUGUUGGCUAAAGCCAUACAUACCAGGUUAGCUCUUGUCACAAUAAUACGCUUUACCGCAAUACACAAGAGGCCUCGCUGCAGGACACGCCCGCCGUAGUUAGCCAAAACCUUAUGUGAUGGUUCACUGCAAAACACCUCCUGUAUUGCGGUGAAUCGUAAUAAAGCACAUUUGUCAGUUUAGAAUUUAAACACCCUUGCCCUUCGCUUUUGUAAUAAUAUGACUCAGUUUAAUGAGAACAUGUAUUCACUGCUAAAAACAUCCACAUUGAAAUGGAGAUAUGAACACUGAUGGCAGCCUGUGUGAUGUUUUAUCCCUUUACUUUUUUGUGUACUGUCACGCUGCCAUUAUUAAAUUUUCCUGUACUUUGUUAGGUGCUCAUGUACAUAACAUUAGAUCACAAAGAGCCACUGUGUAAUUAGUGUUCAAGGACCAGUGUGAUGGCUUUACUCAAGAAAGGUUUGGGUUAUGUUGUUGUGAAGGUUUUUUUUUAGAGGUAGCUUUCUGAGAAGAAAUCAGAUGUCAGGAAAUAGAUCUCAAUGGCACAGUAAUCUUGGCUGCCUUUUGCUCAAACAUGCCCUAGACAUAAUUGAGUGAUUUGCACUUGCAACUGGACAGCAGCCGUAGCUUGCUUGGGAGACCAGUGAUAUGGCAUAUUUUAUCAAACUAGGUGACACAUAGCAUUACCAGUCCGAAUAGAGACCUGUUUAAAUUUUUGUCACCUUUAACACCUACAUUUUCGACCAUGAAUUCAGAAAAAUCUGUAGCACAUUUAUAACCUAGAUUUUAAAUGCUGUAUAAGUUGGCUUCUUGUUCACUGCAGCUGUGCUCGGGUUCUGUCCAAACGGGAGAGCACUUCUGCACAGCUUAUUAGGGAAUAUUCUUAUUUACAUACCUUCUUUUUAUUUAUCUCGCCUACAAUCACAAUCAAAUGUUUAUGGCACAUGAAUGUGCUGUGCAUGAAUCUAACUUACAGUGCCAUGUUCAACAGCACAGUGCAUGUAGCUUGUGUUGGUUCAUUCAAGCUAAGCAUUGCUACAGCCUUUAACUGUAGGUAUCAUGGUAUGAGAGCAGAGAAAUGGAUAUGCAAAGACAGUUGGGCACAUUGAGACAUCUUUGUUGUGUGUGAAAAGGUGACAGAUACACAAUAUGGGGAGAACGCAUGCACUUUCAUAUUUUCUCGCGCACAAAAAAAGCCGGAGGAAUAAGGUUUCUUCACUGUGCCAUAGAAACUAUAUGUUUGCUCUCAAAGGUAAUUCUGAUUCAUUGGAUAUGUUCCUGUGCUGUGUUUAUUUUCUUGAGUGUGCUUUAGUUUUUGCACGUUAAUGUUUCAAACUCGUUUUUAUUUUCACAGACUGAACAUCCCACGUCUUGGUUUGACUUCCUGGUACAGGAUACUUGCACUUAGCAUAAAGUGAUGAAGCAGAGCAGUGUACUUUUAUUAAAUGUGCAGAUUUUAGCAGUAUAACAGCAGUUCAUUAAAAAAACAUGUGUGCUGAAAAUAAAGUGUUCUUACCCACA